CACGUAGGGGGCGAGCGUUGUCCGGAUUUAUUGGGCGUAAAGAGCUCGUAGGCGGCUCGGUAAGUCGGGUGUGAAAACUCAGGGCUCAACCCUGAGACGCCACUCGAUACUGCUGUGGCUUGAGUCCGGUAGGGGAGCGUGGAAUUCCUGGUGUAGCGGUGAAAUGCGCAGAUAUCAGGAGGAACACCGGUGGCGAAGGCGGCGCUCUGGGCCGGUACUGACGCUGAGGAGCGAAAGCGUGGGGAGCAAACAGG
rnacentral:rRNA from 1 species